rnacentral:misc_RNA from 1 species
GAUGAAGAACGUAGCGAAAUGCGAUAAGUAAUGUGAAUUGCAGAAUUCAGUGAAUCAUCGAAUCUUUGAACGCACAUUGCGCCCGCCAGUAUUCUGGCGGGCAUGCCUGUCUGAGCGUCAUUUCAACCCUCAUGCCCCUAGGGCGUGGUGUUGGGGAUCGGCCAAAGCCCGCGAGGGACGGCCGGCCCCUAAAACUAGUGGCGGACCCGUCGUGGCCUCCUCUGCGAAGUAGUGAUAUUCCGCAUCGGAGAGCGACGAGCCCCUGCCGUUAAACCCCCAACUUUCCAAGGUUGACCUCAGAUCAGGUAGGAAUACCCGCUGAACUUAAGCAUAUCAAUAAGCGGAGGA